ACCUAAAAAUGAGAUUCCCAAUGUAGGUUUUGACGACUUUAGAUUUUGAUUUCACCCAAAUCUCACUCGCCCUCAUUCGCACCCAAGAUAUCCCUUCUUCACAGCGUGAUUGGUGGUGGCCAUGACUCUCCCUCCUUAGCACACCAGAUUGAGAACCAUACUUGACGCCACGGUGAACCCCUAAAAAACCCUAAUCACACCCCUAUCAUUCAGUGCUGAAAUACCCCUGUUUUCCGAAUCAUUUUAAGUUUUUGGCUUCUGUUUUGCAAAAAAAAAAAAAUUGAUUUUGGGUGUUUGAUGUCCUCAACUUGUAUGUAGAGAGAAAAGUUGUCAAUUCGUUUGAUGAGACAACGCUAGGUUUGCCCUUCUCGUUUACUAAUUAACAGUUUAUACUAAAGUUGGCAUAUAAAUGUGGUGUUAACAGUUGAUUUUUAAGGUGUCUAUGUUUGAAGACCAUGUGUUCGAUGAAAUGCUUAAUAAAAAUUGAUCAAAUAAGAGCUCGCUUUCGAUUUUGCUUCCUUUUUAAUUCCCUUGCAACAGUUAGUUUAACUUAUGUUUUUCCAACAGUUGUAACAUGUGUUUGCUACAUAUCAUAUUAUUAAUUUAUGUUUUACAUAGUCAUGAUUUUCAGAGUUCAGACGAUCGUCAUGGCAAUUUCCAGACCAUCAUCAUCCCGGACAAGGAUCCUAUGGUCAAUUUUAUGUUUUUCUCGACCGAUCAUAGCUUUGUUUUAUUUAUUCGAUUUUAUACAGUUUGCGUUUUUGACUUCUUUAUAUGCUAUGCUCAUUGUGAUGGUUUCCAGCAACUCAAAACUCUACAAAAUCCCGCGGGGUGUUCCAAAUUGAAUAUGCUUCAACUGGAUACCAUCACGAUUAAAGGUAACAAAUUACCAUUAUGUGUAUUUCGUUCUAAAGAGCCGCCUAAGGAUGUUUUGAAACCGAAACAAUCAACUGAGAGUUUUAAGAUCUUUGAAGACGAGGAGGCUCAACCUGUGCCCAUGGAAUGGUAAUAAGAGAACCUGAAAAGGAUCGAUCUUAUGAAGGUUGAUUUGGAGGACAUCUUUGAAGAACCAAUUGAUUAGUCUAGGAGCCACAUGAUUAGAAUAAAUUAUGUUCAUCGAAUUGUAGAUUAAAUUAUUUUCAAUGGACUCACUUGAUUUCACCAAACUAUACGUUGACAUUGCAAUCUGAUAUCAAUUAGAAAAAAGAGCCACACUAAUUGAUUGGCUCAUUGAGGUUAACUACAGCAGGUUCUUGUAUGAGCAAAUUAAGAAAGAGCAAACACAUGAUCGUGGAAUAUGUUUUAUGAACCCGUCUGCAAUUUUGCGGGCUGAUCAAUGCAAACCCAAACCCAAACACAUCGAAGUUGCAGGUAGAGCGGUUGCAGAUCGAUUAUAUAAAAGAAACGCCAAUGACAUCAUCCUGUUGCCCUACAAUCCCAGAAACCAUUGGGUGUUGGCGGUACUAAACCUGAAAACAACUACUUGCUAGUAUCUUGAUUCCUUACGGCCUAGAAGUGUCGGGCAAUGAUUGUGUAUGCUUCACGAGGUGGUGCCAACAUAAGGGUUAAACUCAUCGGGAUUAACGCUAAGUGUCCAUGUCAGCCAGGAGGUACUGAAUGCGGCUACUAUGUGAUAAAGUUCAUGAAGGAUAUAGCUUACGAAAGAGUUGAGAUACUUGACAAUGAUAAUAUUGGGAAAGGAGUAGAGGAAUACUUGGCUACGGAUAUGGACGGCAUUCGCGAAGAUUGAUCGAUUUAUGCGUUUACCUCUAUUUUUAAGUGACAAAUCGUAUUUUAGGUGUCGAUGUAUUGACAAACAAUUUUUUUUUUGUUAACUUUAAAAUAUUUGUAGUAUACUUGACAAAUGAUUAUGUAAUGAAUUCUUUUGGUAUAUGUA